UCUAGCGGGGCCGCAAGCAGGAAGUCGAACAGCCUUCUUUCUCAAUGCGGAUUACCAUGAGGUGGGACUGACGAAGCUCCUUUUUCACGGGUUUCUUUACUGUUUUCAGGAGUGAUCAAAAUAACCUCUAUAAUAGAAGAAAAGCUGAAGAUUUCAAAAUUUUCUGAAGGGAGCCACAGACAGAGAUGUAAACUCAGGCAGGUUGAGAGCAUAUUAACUUACUUUUUUCACAACAUAUUACCAUGAAUCUUGUCAUUUUUCUGCGUUUAUAGCAAUUAUUCCAGGAAGGUUUUAACAUCCAAACAUUUUCCAUGCUGAUAUCCGUGCAGCAGAGUCGAAGCAGACCUGUCAGAAAACAUCUCUAAGGUGCUAUGAAUCUCAUAACUAGAUACACAUCAUAAGAUAACUAGAGCUUACGGCUCUGUUUGGAUCCAGCCUCACUUGUGAAGACUUCAGAUGACGUAAACACUCACAAAGACAUUAUAUGAUGGCAUCUACAGAUGGACAUACACAACUGCCAAAUGUAACAUAUUGUAAUUACUGCACCAAAGCGCAACCCUACAGAUUUUCAACCCACUUAAUUGUUUAUAUUUGAAAAAAAUAUUCUUUAGCUAAUUUUACUGAUUUAUUUCCAUUUAUUUGUCCACAAUACUCUGCCAAAAUGAUGUUUUGCAUCAUCCAAAUAUUGUUAAUGUACAUAUUACAGACAUUGUAACAACACAAAGUGGGUUGAAAAAGUUUCUAAGUGCAGUAACUACGCAAACACUAAAAUCGAGAAAAAAGUUCUUAAAGUGUUUUACACCAGCCAGUCAAACUUGUUACUGCAAUUUUGGCAAACACAUUUCUCUGAUGGGACAAAAUUAAACCAGGAGACUUUGUCACAAGACAACAGAUCUCACAAAGCCCAUUUCAACCUUUACCUCAAUUUUGACCAAAUGCAUAGUUACUGCGCUUUGGCUUUGUUGGGCAGUAUAGUAGUAUUAUAUUAAUGCUGGAGUGAAAGCAUGGUAACCAUAUAUUUUUAAAUCAUGGUAAAGUUUGUGGUUACUAAAAUGUAGUACUAUAAACCUAUGCUGUUGUAAGAGAAUGUUUAUUCUUUAUUAUUGUUGUGAAACCAUGGUUGAUUUUAUAUUUACCAUGUGUUACUGCAAAUGAUGGUAAAAUCAUGGAGAACUUUGCAUGGGUACAGAAAGGUGUAAACUGGUUGUUUUUAUUUGGAAGUCAUAUUGGUUUUAAUGCAUCUGAUAAAUGUAUAUGCAUUUGAAUAUUUAUUCUGUUUACUGACAAUAAUAAAUUUGCAGUUGCUGAUGUAAA